GUAUGCUGUUGUCCAGAGCCCUUUUUCUGUUGUACUACUGGCAAUUAUGAUGAGCAGUGCAAUAUUAAAAGGG
rnacentral:miRNA from 1 species